rnacentral:rRNA from 1 species
AGACAGAGGAGGCAAGCGUUGUUCGGAAUCAUUGGGCUUAAAGGGCGCGUAGGCGGCUUGGUAAGUGUCCUGUGAAAUCCCACGGCUCAACCGUGGAAUUGCAGGGCAAACUGCUUGGCUUGAGACUGGUAGGGGUGCCUGGAACUCUAGGUGGAGCGGUGAAAUGCGUAGAUAUCUAGAGGAACGCCAGUGGCGAAAGCGGGGCACUGGGCCAGUUCUGACGCUGAGGCGCGAAAGCGUGGGGAGCAAACAGGAUUAGAUACCCUGGUAGUCCACGCCGUAAACGAUGCACACUAGAUCUGGAAACCUCUGACGGUGUCCGGGUCCAAGCGAAAGCGUUAAGUGUGCCGCCUGGGGACUACGGCCGCAAGGCUAAA